CAGUACCUCUGACAGCUGUGUGUGGGGACAAUAGGCUUCAGCCAGCUGAACACAGAGACUCUGCAGGACAAGACGAAUGUUCCUGCUCUCUCCGCGUCUCACCCAGGUAGCCAGGAGGGUGCUAGCUGUGCUACUGCAGCCAUGGUGGUACUCUUUCCCCAGCCUGGUGGUCCCAGCAGGAGGAUGCAUCUGGUUGCUGACUGCUCCACUGCCCUCUUCACAUCAGCUAGGAAAAACUGCCUCAAAGUACAGCCCUUCCCUCUGAGGGAUGGAGGGAAAUCUCACUGGAACUUUGGCAUGUAAGAACUACAUUCAAAUAGUUGUAGUUUACUCUGUAAGUUUACUCUCUGUCCUCUCAUUCUUUUGACAAGAAUACUAAAAGCCUGGGCACACUAACAUAUAAUACAGCAAACUUUCAUUCAACUUCAUUUUAAUGGAAUGGACAAAGUAAAUCAGUGCAAAGUUUUUGCUUUGACCUGAAAUUUGCACAACUGACCUAGCAUGGAAGCUAUCAUAGCCUCAGGUGUGGUGCACCUUCCAUUUUUAUAUAACCAUGCUCUGCUGGAGUAUAAACUACUGCACCAAACAGACAUGGUUUUCCCUGACAGUUACAUAAACAUGACAAAUACAUAACUGUGUCAACUUAUUGUCUUGUUAGCAUCUAAGCUAUCUAGCUUGCUAGCUGACAGUUAUUACGCCAACUAUCCAGGACAGGGGCUGACUAGAGUUAGCAUGUUCUUGGGUCACAGUACUUCGAUGAGUAGUCGCUACGUUAGAAAGCUUCUUAAACCAACUGUUUUGUGGAUGAACUUUGUUGUGCUACUUUCUGCUGUUACCAGGCAUUAAUAAUAUUCUGUUAAAAGAGGCUCAGUAAAUUUACUUCAUUUUAAAAUUUCUGACUUGGGCAUCCUCCAUUGUUAGUGACAAAAAUGCCUCCUGUUUUCAUUCCUUAUGCCAGCACUGUGUCAUUUUUCCACAAACAAAAAAUUAAGUCACAUAACAAUUCUACACAUUGUGGCUUCAAAAGAGCUAUAUGUAACUACUUCAAGCUACACUAGGAAAUAUUUUGAUGUAAAAAGACAGCAUUCUUGUCUACCUAGAUGAGGUUGUCACCGUGAUGGUAAUGGGAAAGGACUCACAGGUGGCGUCCAUAGUUAACAUGACGCUGUAUCUCCUCCUGUAUCUGCACUCUGGCAGCUUCUUUCCUCACCAUGUUAAAAGGGCCUGGGGCUUUGGUGACCUUCAUGACUCUGGAAUAGACAAGGCAUGAACAGCAGCUGUAGUCAACUCAUACAGGGCAGAGAUGUUUAAUCCUUUAUAAAGUGUUUCUGUAAGUGUGUGUGUUGUACUUUUUGAGGGAGUUGAUGACGGUCCGUUGAACAUGAGAGGAGAUGCGCUCUGUGUAGAACUGGUGAGAUCGGUUGUGUUUGGGGUUCAGACCUUUCCGUCCCCAGCCUACAUUACGCUCAUAGAUGUUGGUGUGGCGCAGCUUGAUGAUGUAUACAUAAAUGAAUAAAAUGUACAGUACAUAAGCUUGGAACUAAGAGACAAGAGGAGUAAAUCUACAAAAGCACACCUGGUGCUCUGUUGGUUUGCUUAACAAGCUGCCAAACAAACAUCCACCAGGGGAAAAGUGCACUGCUAAGCUCAGUUUGCAGGCUAGAGACCUAAUUAGCUAGUCAGCUGUAGCACAUUGAAGAGCAUAAAAAUGUUUUUGCAAAUGUCAUGAAUGGUCCAUUUAGAUGCUUAAUUGAGGGGGUCCUUUUUUUCUUCUCUUUCAACACCACUGCUAACAAAACACCGUCUGUCCUUGAUAUGUAAGCUUCAGUCAGCAGCACAAGUUUGUUUACAAUGUGUGUCUAUGCCCCUGCUGACUCAGCUGUCAAUCAAACCCCUAUUCUGGCACACACCCUUAGAGCCUUGGACAUAAGAGCAUUUCUGACGUGUCUCCAAAGAUACAUUAGACAAGAUACUUCCUUCUUUUCAAUAAUAAAUAAACAUUUAAAAAUCACUUUGACAUGAUCCUUGACUGCAAAAAGGGAAAAGUAAUUAUGAUUACAGUCUGACUUAAAAGCACACACAUUAAAUAGCAGCUCUUUAGUUUCAUCAUAGUUAUUACAGACUGACACCCUUUAAUAGUAACAUUCCAUCAAAGUUGCAUAUCUUCGUAUGGCCAAUAACCAGUUUCAACAAAAAGCCUGUAUUCGUCCAGUCCCAGCAAGCACUAACUGAGGUAAUAAAUAAAGCGAACCCUUUGUUUGAUGUCUCAGUUACAAAUAAUCUGUUUCAACAGCAUUUCAAUUACUAUACUGUAUGUAAUUCUGUUUUUAAGACUUGCUCUCCAUUAAAAUCACUAGCACUUAGCCUGAAUGUGUGCAAAUAUUUGUAUGUUGUCUUGUGUAUAUCGUUUUAAAACUGAAUACACCCAGAGUUCCACAUUAGGGAGUAUAUUUUUGGUUUUCCUUACACUGAAUAUACCUUUUCAUGGAGGCGGUCCAUGAAAGACUGGUGGGCUGUGCUGAGUACUGGAUCGAGUUGAGCUCCUCCCUUCAGGAGAUCGGCGUACAGAGUGGCAUGUUGGUUCUUUAGGUUGUAGUGAAGAUCUGGGAUGACUCUCUUAUAGCAGUGGCAAUGUUCCUCUGGUGGAGCCUCAUUUACAUACUGCAGAGCUGUCUCUACCUCCCAGUCAAGAACUAAGAAAAAAAGAUAAUACUGGCAGUUAUUGUUUUGUGCCCAUUUUGUACAACCUCUGUUUGAAGCAUACUGAGACCUUUAACUGUUGGGUUUUGGUGUGGUUGUUUUGGUCCAUUCUAGAGUAUGAUUGUGUACAAAUCUGCCCAAAUGAAUCUUAUGAAGGAGGAAAACCAACCCAUUCAAAUAAGCUAAACAAUGCAGGCUUGAGCAAAGCCAAUUAAAUCAGGGAAUUUUCCUGUGAUCCCUAGAUAGAACCACCUUGCCAACAUACAUAAAACAGAGGACAAGAAUAAAAAACAGAAUGUUUCCCAACCUUACCUGUCCUGAGUAAAAGUGAGGCCUCUUCUUGCCCCAGUGCCUUGACCACGCAGCGUUGCAGAACUCCCCACAGUCUCUGGCAGGUAGUGCUCCAGUCCUUCAUAGCCUGCCUCCUGUGCUGUCGGUCCAUGCUCAAUAUGUUGGGAUGGUGAGUGCUGUAAAAGUCACCAAAGAUAAUGAAUGGGGCUGUUAGACACAUUUUCCAGAGGUUGAACCCUAUUAAAUCGUUGUGACCCCUUGA